GCUCUAGUGGCUGGCUGCUCUGCUUCUCUGACCUUUCAGCUUUCAACCUCUAAUAUCUGACUCUGGGAUUUUAUUAUUAAGACCUUUUAGAACUUGUCUUACAAAUAGGUGCCUCUUAAUCCUGCGCUCUUGAAGAGGGUGUUCCGUGCAAGGCCUUACUUCUGACUUCUCACACCUGUCCUUUCCACUAUGUUGAGGCUUCAAGACCUGUAGCAGGUGUCCUGCAUCUCACAGCCUACCUUUGAAUCCUAGUUCCAAAGCUAAUGAGCUGUGCAAACUUGGGCAAAUUAUUCAUCCUGUCUGUGGGAACGCUGUGGGUACUAUCCUCAAGUGCAUCUUCAGUAGCUGGCUGUGGAUCUUCAACUCUGGGAGAGCUCACAACCAAGAAACUGCCUUACAUUUCAGAAGAGUAAAAAGGUGUCUGAUGCAAAUUCAAGAGGGACAGAGAUAUAAAUCUCUGGGAGUAGGUUUUCUGGCAUCAUGGACGUAGAGAACAAGGAAAUAGCAAUCACUGUGUACAAGGAUGAUGCUGCAGUUGGUCAGCUUUGGGUUCCUGUCACAAGAUAACGAAAACUCAUGAUCAUGGAAGUUCUACUCUACGGCUCAUCCUCUCUUUUUUGGGCUACUGAUCAAAGCCGCGCAUCAUGGUGGGAGUGUAAGACAGAACAGGCUGCUCACUUCCUGAGGCAGAAAGCCAACAUUGACAAGCCUGGCUGUGAGUCUGAACACCCUUUCAAGGCACGUUCCCAAUGACCUAAUCGUCUCUCACUAAGCCUCAUUUCUUAAGGACUCAGUGCUGCCCAGGUCACCACCUUGAGAAGCGCAUCGUCAGCAUGCGGGGUUGGAAAGACACUUCUGCAAGCUACAGCAGAGAAGGGAGAAACUUCCCUGCUGCCUGAGAGGGGAAAUGAGAGACCCUGCUCUUUGAUCAGGCACAAGGAUGAGCCUUCUGCAGUUUCUAAAGGAGGCCAGCGGAGAGUGAAUGACUCAGGCAAGACGCGCUAGCCAGUACACUCAGAAUGUACAGUGUGAUUCGUGUGGAGUCUGCCCAUACCUGAGCGCUGAAUGUGCCAGUUAAACAGACAGUGAAGCGGGUGGCAAAUGACUAUUUAAGAUGUCCUAUUAUGCAGUGUAAUAAUGACUCUUACAAAUGUGUCAAUGGAAACUAAAAGAUG